AGCGAACGCUGGCGGCGUGCCUAACACAUGCAAGUCGAACGUGAAAAGGGAAACCUGAGUAAAGUGGCGUACGGGUGAGUAACGCGUAGGUAAUCUACCCCAGAAUCUGGAAUAACCUGCCGAAAGGCGGGCUAAUACUGGAUAGAGCGAGGGAACUCGUAAGAGAGUUUUUCGGGAAAGGGAGCCCGCAAGGGCCUUCGUUCUGGGAUGAGCCUGCGUCUCAUUAGCUAGUUGGUAAGGUAACGGCUUACCAAGGCGAUGAUGAGUAGCUGGUCUGAGAGGAUGAUCAGCCACACUGGAACUGAAACACGGUCCAGACUCCUACGGGAGGCAGCAAUGGGGAAUCUUGCGCAAUGGACGAAAGUCUGACGCAGCCACGCCGCGUGAGUGAAGAAGGCCUUCGGGUUGUAAAGCUCUGUCGGAUGGGACGAACAUCUUCAUAGUGAAUAGCUAUGAGGACUGACGGUACCAUCAAAGGAAGCACCGGCUAACUCCGUG
rnacentral:rRNA from 1 species